rnacentral:misc_RNA from 1 species
UCCCCGUUACCGGGGCAGUCUGAUUAGAAAAAUCCAACUAAUCAUAAGGGUUGCGCUCGUUGAUGGACUUAACCAAACAUCUCACGACACGAGCUGAAGACGGCCAUGCAGCACCUGUCACUUGGCUCCCGAAGGCACUCUCGGCUUUCGCCAAAAUUCCAAGGAUGUCAAGCCUGGGUAAGGUUCUUCGCUUACCAUCGAAUUAAACAACACGCUCCACCGCUUGUGCGGGUCCCCGUCAAUUCCUUUGAGUUUUAAUCUUGCGACCGUACUCCCCGGGCGGAUGACUUCACGCGUUAGCUGCGUUACUAAGGGAUUUAACUCCCCCAACAACUAGUCAUCAUCGUUUAGGGCGUGGACUAC